rnacentral:lncRNA from 1 species
UUCACUACUCAUCUUCGUUUUCAUCUAAGGUCUUCGGGGAGCUUCUGUGAGCGUUUUUCACUACUAAUCAUUGCACCGCCGCUUUUGUUCUUCAAUUUGAUAUCUAUUUUGCUCUUUUAAGCCAGUUUUCGUUGAUGUCGCGACUGUUUCUUGCUGAUUGGAUCGUCUUCGACCUGGGGCUGGAUGGUUUCUAGCUCGGGUAGCAAGAAAAUGUCGGAGAUCUCUUGUGGUGAUCGAGAUAGAUAGUAGUGUAAGAAGGUGAGAUGAAGAUUUAAGAAAUGUUGUGCCGUAGGUUUGUUCCAGCCGUAAUUGCGAAUGGGUGUCCGUGGAAUUACUUCCGUUGGACGUGCUUGUUUGUCUGUCUAAAUGGCGUGCUUUCUUUGAACUGGUGAUUAUUUUGUGCUUGAGUCAGAAAUUGGGAAUGCGAGCAAUUUGAGCAUGGACUCAUCUUCUCCAAUUGGGAAAAGAGAUGU